rnacentral:rRNA from 1 species
UGAGGGAUAUUGCGCAAUGGGGGAAACCCUGACGCAGCGACGCCGCGUGGGUGAAGAAGGCUUUCGGGUCGUAAAGCCCUUUUUGGCAUGACGAGGAAGGACGGUAGUGCCAGAAUAAGCCUCGGCUAACUACGUGCCAGCAGCCGCGGUAAAACGUAGGAGGCGAGCGUUAUCCGGAGUUACUGGGCGUAAAGGGUGCGUAGGCGGCAUGGCAAGUGAGGCGUGAAAGCCCCGGGCUAAACUCGGGGAGGACAUCUCAGACUGCUAAGCUAGAGUGAAACAGAGGAGCGCGGAAUUCGGGGUGUAGCGGUGAAAUGUGUAGAGAUCCCGAGGAACACCAGUGGUGCAAACGGCGCUCUGGGUUUAGACUGACGCUGAGGCACGAAAGCUUGGGGAGCGA